rnacentral:rRNA from 1 species
CCUACGGGAGGCAGCAGUGGGGAAUAUUGGGCAAUGGGCGCAAGCCUGACCCAGCAACGCCGCGUGAAGGAAGAAGGCGUUCGGGUUGUAAACUUCUUUUCUCAGGGACGAAGCAAGUGACGGUACCUGAUGAAUAAGCCACGGCUAACUACGUGCCAGCAGCCGCGGUAAUACGGAGGUGGCAAGCGUUAUCCGGAUUUACUGGGUGUAAAGGGCGUGUAGGCGGGACUGCAAGGCAGAUGUGAAAACCACGGGCUCAACCUGUGGCCUGCAUUUGAAACUGUAGUUCUUGAGUACUGGAGAGGUAGACGGAAUGCCGAGGGUAGCGGUGAAAUGCGUAGAUAUUAGGAGGAACACCAGUGGCGAAGGCGGUCUGCUGGACAGCAACUGACGCUGAGGCGCGAAAGCGUGGGGAGCAAACAGGAUUAGAUACCCGUGUAGUC